GAAACACCCGUUCCCAUCCCGAACACGGAAGUUAAGCUCUCCAGCGCCGAUGGUAGUUGGGGCCAGCGCCCCUGCAAGAGUAGGUCGUUGCUAGGC
rnacentral:rRNA from 1 species